UACGGAGGGGGCUAGCGUUGUUCGGAAUUACUGGGCGUAAAGCGCGCGUAGGCGGACCUGCAAGUCGGGGGUGAAAGCCCGAGGCUCAACCUCGGAACUGCCUUCGAUACUGCGGGUCUCGAGUCCGGGAGAGGUGAGUGGAAUUCCUAGUGUAGAGGUGAAAUUCGUAGAUAUCGGGAGGAACACCGGUGGCGAAGGCGGCGACCUGGGUCGAGACUGACGCUGAGGCGCGAAAGCGUGGGGAGCAAACAGG
rnacentral:rRNA from 1 species